GGGGCUGUAGCUCAGCUGGGAGAGCGCUGCAAUCGCACUGCAGAGGUCAGGGGUUCGAAUCCCCUCAGCUCCACCA
rnacentral:tRNA from 2 species